CCCUUUAUAUUCAUUUUGUGUUUUGCAAUUUACAAAUACAAAGUGAUUUCUGACUUGUGCUAUUUUGUUAGGACACUGCAACACUGCUGUAAUGAACACAGGGAAGGCAUUGUUGUGCUGGGAGCUGAGGAAACAAAUCCUGAGACACUAAGUGAUUUGCCCAAGGCCACGCCAUGUCAAAGCCGAAGAAAACUCAAGGACAAUGACUUCCAAGUCUGCUGUGGGUGUCCCUGUCUUUCUUCUCUGGUCCCAUUUAAACUCCGGGUUUAAUUCGAUCUUCCUAUGACUAUGUCCCUCCACUAGCAAAUGUGGAACGACUUGAAGAAAAUGGAGAUCAUAACUCCUGCCUCAACUGCCUCACAUGGGGAUUAUGAGGAAAACAAUAAGAAGAUUUAAUAAAAAUGGACUCAGACUGUUACUGAUUUUCCAUACAGGUGCUAGUAAUUGGGUGAGUAGAGGAUAUGAGAAAUGAAGAGCCCUGGAAUUGAAGUCAGAUGUGAAUCAGAAUUCUGACUCCCCCUCUCAUUAGCUGUGUAACCUUGAACACUUAAUCUCACAAAACCACGGUUUCUUUUUCUGUAAAAAAAGAAUGACAGACUGGGUGCGGUAACUCAGACCUGUAAUCCCAGCACUUUGGGAGGCUGAGGUGGGCGAAUCACGAGGUCAGGGGUUCGAGACCAGCCUGGCCAACAUGGUGAAACCCCAUCUCUACUAAAAAUACAAAAAACUGCCAGGCGUGGUGGUGGGCACCUGUAAUCCCAACUACUCGGGAGGCUGAGGCAGGAGAAUCAUUUGAACGCGGGAGGUGGAGGUUGCAGUGAGCCAUUGCGCUCCAGCCUGGGUGAUACGGUGAGGCUCCAUCUCGAAAAAAUAAAUAAAUAAAUAAAAUAACAAAAAUGCAUGCCCAGUAGCAGGA
rnacentral:lncRNA from 10 species